GCCAGGUGCAGUAGUAUGUGCCUGUAGUCCCAGCUACUCCGGAGGCUGAGGCUGGAGGAUCUCUUGAGUACAGGAGUUCUGGGCUGUAGUGUGUUAUGCCAAUUGGGUGUCCCCACUAAGUUUGGCAUCAAUAUGGUGACUUCCCUGGAGCAGGGGACCACCAGGUUGCCUAAGGAGGGGUGAACCGGCCCAGGUUGGAAAUGGAGCAGGUCAAAACUCCUGUGCUGAUCAGUAGUGGGACCACGCCUGUGAAUAGCCACUGCACUCCAGCCUGGGCAACAUAGCAAGGCCCGUCUCU
rnacentral:SRP_RNA from 1 species